AACGCGAAGAACCUUACCAAGGCUUGACAUAUAGCGAAAAGUGGCAGAGAUGUCAUGUCCGCAAGGGCGCUAUACAGGUGGUGCAUGGUUGUCGUCAGCUCGUGUCGUGAGAUGUUGGGUUAAGUCCCGCAACGAGCGCAACCCUCGUUCUGUGUUACCAGCAUUAAGUUGGGGACUCACAGGAGACUGCCGGGGUCAACUCGGAGGAAGGUGGGGAUGACGUCAAAUCAUCAUGCCCCUUAUGUCUUGGGCUGCACGCAUGCUACAAUGGCCGGUACAAAGUGCCGCGAAAUCGUAAGAUUUAGCGAAUCACCUAAAGCCGGUCUCAGUUCGGAUUGAGGUCUGCAACUCGACCUCAUGAAGUCGGAGUUGCUAGUAAUCGUAGAUCAGCAACGCUACGGUGAAUACGUUCCCGGGUCUUGUACACACCG
rnacentral:rRNA from 1 species